UCACACCCAGAGGAAGAGUAAAGCCAUGUUGAAACUAUCUACAAUUCCUCAAGUGUUUUUCCAGCUACCCACCACUUGCCCACCAACUUCACACAGACCUCAGUUAGAAUCUGACAAUUGGCAUCACAAACGGGAUCCUGAGAUUUAGAAGGAGCAGCGCCCCUCUUGCAGCAACAUUUGGCAGCAUGUGGUUGGACUGUCAAUAAAUCCAAGGUCCAAGGACCUGGAUUAUCUGCCAAAUUUUUGGAAGUUAUCUGGUCGGAUGGAUCUGCACUGCCCUUCCAGAAGCAGCUGCUGUGGAUGGCUUACCUUGGCACACACAAUCAGGGCCUGCAGAUAACUCAACACAGCUGGAGACUUGGGGUCUGAUGGCUGACACCUGGAAUACAAUGCAGCAAGCUUUGGACAAAGGAUGCCGCAAAACCCAUGGUGCACCUGCCCCCCUUGCUGGCCCAUAGUGUUUAUGAUGGGUGAGGCUGGCUAGUGGGGGAACAUGUAGUAUCCCUGGCCCAGGCACCAUGGUGCAUAGAGUAACACUGGGGUAAUACAAAUGUGGGAUGGGUACCCAUCACAGCCUGUGAAAAAAUAACACGUAUCACCACACCAAAGGUGUGGUAGAACAAGCAGCCCCACUAAGGUCAGCUCCAGUGGACUUUGUGCCCCCUGGGGGUUUAUGGGUCUGUGGGGACACAAGGUGGCCUUACCUAUCAGCAGACUGAACUAGACGUUGUACCUGGGGGUGGCCUUAUGUACCUGCCAUUGUUCUCCCCACAUUGCCCAGACACCCACAUAACCAGGAAGCACUACACUCUCAGUUUUUGCAAGUUUGAUGAGCCCCCUGGUGGUUCUACUCCUUGGCAAUGACUAUCUCUGGAGUGGGUGUCAUAAGCACAAGUUACUGCUCUUGCAGAGCACACCACCCAGGCUCUGAAUUACACCCAAGUGGCCCUCCUCCUGUUAACACCUUACUGAUCAGAUCAGUAAGGUGGCGUUGCAAAACCAAAUGGCCUUAGACAUAAUAACUACUGCCCGAGGAGGCACCUGUUCUCUUUUAGGAAUAUAAUGUUGUACCUUUAUCGCUGACAAUCGGCAGAACAUGACAGCAGCCCUGCAACAUUUCUCACAAGAGAUUAAUGGAGUCGAGAGCCUUACUGAUGACCCCCUGCAGAGAUGGUGGGCAUCCUUAGGCUCUGGCCAAUGAUGGGCCCUAAUAGUCGUAAGUAGCAUAUCUGGUGUCCUAGUAGUGAGCUGUUGCUCUCUGUAUUGUUGUUGUGGGUUAUGGAUUCAGGGCUCUACCCUAUGGGCAUGUGCCCCUGCCCAGAGGAUGCCCUCAGCCUAGGGGGUGGAGUGUAAGGGAAAUGGCUGUGCUUUAGUCAGGAGUAGACUGAGGCGGCCUUCUGGCACAGCAUGACUCAGCAGGUUUGGAGUACAGGUGCACAACCCCACACAUUAUGUAACCAUGCCACGUGAGGUGCCUUAGGUGAUCACCCAGAUGAGCUCAUGCUUGACUCGGCACCACUAUUGUCUCUAAAACGUAUAACUACGUUGCUGAUGCUGUACAUAGAGCUUGCUCAUGCCCAGAGAAAGGGUAAAGCCAUGUCAAAACUGUCUACUAUUCCUCGAGUGGUUUUCCAGCUACCUCCAUUUGCCCCGCUGACUCCCCUCAGACAUCAGUUAGAACCUGACACAGAGGUUGCAGUGAGCCAAGAUCAUGUCACUGUACUCCAGCCUAGGUGACAGACUGCUGGUGUAUUUACCAGUACUUGUCUAUGGUUAAUCAGUUAAAUCAGCCCAUUCAUUCAUGCAAGUCAGCCUGAGGGUGUGAUCAACAACCUUCUAUGAAUAAUUGAUAGUCUCUUUUGCAUGGCUACAAACUAUAUCCCAUGUAAGAGAGAUGCCCUUUCCAAAUGCAAACCAUAGUUCUCGUUAUGUAAUCCUAUAAAAGAAGUCAAUGGGUCAGUGAGAAUCUACCACUAUCAAUCUCCAUAUGCCUCCAUGUUUGAAUAAUGAUAGCCUAUUCUCUAUAUGCUCAGCUGUGUCCAUGCCAUGAAUCACAGAAAGUCUUGUUUAAGCAAUCAUGUGUAGGAGUUUCUUCUCCAAUAGCAAAUUGGAUUUAGAAAUAGGUGUAUGGUUCCUCUCCAUAUUCAGACUGAUGUACAGGAGAUGUGGGGGAAAUGCAGAGUAGAGAGCAUGAAGAGAUAUGGAAACAUGGAUUUCAAUCCCUGAGUAUUAAAGUAAGCAAUAAGUAGCAACCUCACUAUCUACUCCUCAGCCCAGGUGAUUCUCCAUGCCUGAAAACUGAGCGCAGAUCCCUCCAGUCAGGUAACAGAGGAUAUGCACCUUCUUAUCUAGUUCCUUCUACCCUAUUUUCCAGCCCCCCCAAUCCACACCAUGAGAUUCACAAAAUGAAACACUCAUUCUAAGUCUAGUUUUAAUACUGAAUAUCAAACCUGACCUACCUCAAUCAAAAAUUGUCUUACCCCAUUCCCCAACCCAUCCUUCUUCCUUUGAUCAUUUCAUCUUCUGGCUCCUUCCAUGGGGUGCUAGCCUAUCCACUUUGGUUUUACAUUUCUUCCUCACAGCCAGCCACUUCUACUGUUCCAUGUCUCUUUUUCUAUUCCUUUCUCACUACACUAAACUCACUUCCUUUUUCCUGUGCCCACCUUGUUGCUAUGACAAUCAUUUAUAUUGGAAAUAAAUAGGUCAAAGUCCUUGAAGAUUAGUUUUUUGCCUACCCUUCCCUCAAACCUUACACAUUCUAUUCACUGUCUUUCCUUUUACCAUACUGAAUAACUUGUGAGUUGCCUAAAUUUGUCAUGUUGUUUUUUAGUCUUUUGACUCUUUAAAAAGAUACCCUUUCUUCCUAUUAUGACAUUCUCUGCUUCUUCAUACUUCUAAAAAGAAAACCUCAAGACUCAACUCUCCUGGGAAUUCAUAUUUCAAUAUCCAGACUGGUGGUUCUCAAACUUGGUCUCACAUUGGAAUCACUUAGAAAGCUUUAAAAAUAAUAUUGGGUCCUGAGCCCCACCCUCUGAGAUUCAGAUUUAACUGGUAUUGGGUAGCGCCUGGAGAUAGAGAUUUUAGCACCUCCCCAGGUGAUUACAAUGUGCGACCAAGAUUGAGAACCACCACUGCCCUAAGUGAUAUGAAUGCCCAUCUUCUGUAACCUGUAUCACUUUACUCGUCAUUAUCAGCACUUUUUACCUUGCACAUUGAAUUGUCUUGUAGCAGGACAAGCUGCAGGCAAAACCCCUCAGACAAUGGGUUAAAGAAGGAAGAGGCUUUAUUCAGACAGGAGCAUCAGCAGACUUGCAUCUCAAGAACCAAGCUCCCCGAAGAAAGAGUUCCUGGCCCUUUUAAGGGCUUACAGCUCUAAGGGGUCCACGUGACAGGGUCGUGAUAGAUUGAGCAAGCAUGGGGUGCAUGACUAGGUGGGGGUGGUGAGCAAGGCAAGUAUUUCUCCAUACCAUUGUCUGUGAUCUAUAGAUAGCACAAGUGGUUAGGGUGGGGGUUAAUCUUUAACCGACAGACCUGGCCAGUGGCGCUGAUCAGUCUGUUAUUUUUCAGUUUUUACUUCCUCCAUUUCUUUGGAGACAGAGGACAGCAGAAGAAAUGGCCACUCUCCUCAGUCUAUGUACCAUAUUUUAUUAGGUUUUAUACCCCAGUGCCUGCAUUAGAAAAUAAAGGAAUCUGGGGUGGGGGAAGCGGGGAGGGAUAGCAUUAGGAGAUAUACCUAAUGUUAAAUGACGAGUUAAUGGGUGCAGCACACCAACAUGGCACAUGUAUACAUAUGUAACAAACCUGCAUGUUGUGCACAUGUACCCCAAAACUUGAAGUAUAAUUAAAAAAAAGAAAAGAAACACAAGUAAACCCAAGUGUUCAUUUAUAGAUGAAUGGGUAAACAAAAUAUGGUAUAUACACAUAAUGGAGUAUUAUAAAAAGAAAAUAAAGGAAUCUUCAACACAUGGCUUUUGAUGAAAUGAAGGAACAAAAUUAUUUCCUGUUUAUACAUGAAUGUGAAUGUUGUUGCUGCUUAAUGAGAUAAAAUACUGAAGUAUCUUGAAAAAAGUCACAUAAAUUGAGAAGAAAGGAAAUAGUACAGUUAGAGAUAGGCACAGGAUGCCAGGGCGAUGACGUGAUGCUUAGAGCCAGGAAAAACUUGAAAUGACACCAGAGCUAUACCCAAAGAAUCAGCAGAUCUUUUACAAAAGUAACAAAAUGAGAUAACUGACAGCCACACUCUCUCCCUUGUGUCCUAAAAGUGUCAACAUAAAUGAAUAUCUAGAACGGCUCUGGUACCUGCUGUUUCAUAAUGCUGAUGAUUUGAUAACAUGUCAGCACUUUUCAACUUUAUCUUCCCCAUUUGAUCUCAAAUCACAAACUUUUUUUUUUAAGUAGUGGAAUGUCCUUCAUAUUAAUGAAACACCUGGACUCCUCUCAUUUUAUCACCCACACUCCAUCUUCUUACUCAUUUGAAGGCAAACAUGAGAAGAUUAAAAAGGCAAAAAAAAAAAUAGAAAAGCAAGUAUAGUAAAAUAAGCAUGAGAAUAAAUCCUGAUGAGCAUUGAGAGACUGGAUAUAAUACCUAACACUAUUUUAUUAGGACACUGUCCAAUUAAGAUAUGUUUAACUUUGGGUAAAGAGUAAGUAUAAAUUCAAUGAUCAGAUUGUUGGGGAACUUACACCACUUUUGCAAAAAAACAAACCAAGACAGUCUGAAUUUGAGGUUCAUAGUUAGGUGUUAUAAUAAUAAAAUUUAGUUUUCAUUAACUGUAUGAUGGCAAUUAUAAUAAGAAACCAAAGCAUUUGUAGUAAAUAUUAUUUUCAAAUUAAAGGAAAGGAAAAAUUUGUAAGAAAAGCUGGCCCUACCAUCAAAAGUACAAUCCCCAAAGCUGUCGGUAAAAAUUCAGAAGAAUUAUAUGAGCUUUCAGAAGACCUGGAACUGAAACUGCUGAUUUCUAAGAUCCCUGUUUUAUAUGAGUAUUGGUAUAUUAGAAAAUUGGCCAUGUUGAAAAUAAUGCUAUUUAUGGUAGGGCUUUAGGAAGCAUGCUAUCAUUCUGAAGCUAAAAAAGAGGGAGGAUUAUUUUUCUCUAUUUAGGUCAAAGUUGAUUUGUUUUGCUCUUUUCUGUUUUGGUAUAAUCAGGUAUUGUUUUUGUUGUUGUUACUGUUUCUUUGGGCUUUUGAAAAUAGUAGAUGAAGACAGGUAUAUGAAUUUGUGUUACUAUUGCUGACUCUCUAGCAGGCAAUUUCCACUUAGGAAAAGGAAAUUAUCUUGCCAAAGAUAAAUCCUUAGGAUGGAAGCUUAUUCUGAUGCUUGAAAUCACAAACAACAAAUAUUUACAUGAACCAUUAAGGUAAUACAAAGGAGAAAAGGUGGCCACUAAGACAAUAGGAAAUGUUGGGAGCUGAAGACAAUUGCCAAUCUCGUCUCAUAUAAAGGAAUUCAGAUUUAUUAUUAAUAUUAUCAUUAUAAUCUUGUUGGCCGCCAUGUGGAUCCUACUUUAAAUAUUUUAUAUAAGAUUCUUCCAUAAAAUAAAUAAUUCUUAUAAUAAAAUUGUUCAAAAUAGCUCACAGGAUAAACUUUUGUUUAGUCCUAAGCAAAUUACAUCUACUGGCAAAAUUAGUUCCUCAGCUGAAAUAACUGAGCACACACAAUUACACAAAAUUUUUUUCUUGUUGCAACAUGUUUUCUUAGAUUUACCCAUUAUCUAAUAUACUUUUCAACUAGAAGGCAAGAAUGAAGAAAAUUUAGAAACAGAAAUAAAUAUUUAUCACAUGCUAAUAUUUCUAGGCUGUAUACUAAAAUUAUUUCAUAUAUUAGCUCAUUUAAUCCUCACAAUGAUUAUAAAGUACAUUUAUUAAUCUCAAGACACACAGGAUAGAACUGAAAGUAAAGAUGUAAAAUGACUUACUUAAAAACCACACUAACAAAUAAUGAAUUUAGGACUGAAAGUGUUUUUCUCAUCGUUUUUGUGUCUUAUCCAGUCUCUUUCUACAACAUCACUUUAAAAAGCUAUCCUUAAUAAACUGUUGUAAUUUUCAUGAUGACAUUCACGUUGUUUGAAAAAGGUACAUACAUAUAUUCUAAACUUUAUUGCCCAAAACAGUCUUCACUGGCAUUGUUUUAUUUGAUAAUUUCUGUGUGGAAACACUAACCAGUGAAAUACUUUUACAAUAUAUCAAUAAACUUCAUUUUUCAACUGCAUUGACAGAAAGCAAGCCAACUUUAAUCAAAAAUGUGAAAUAAUUUUAGUGAUGUAAAAUCAUAAUUAUGCUCUCUUGUGGAAAAUAAGAGCAACAUUUGGCAUCACAGACACUCUGUCAUAAAAAAUUUGCAUUAAAACGUUAUUCUAGAAAAAUGGGUAUUUGUCAAUCUCAUCCAAAUAUCAAACACAGGAAUAAUCUUCAAAUCAAUUAAAUGCUGCUGACUUAAAAAAAUAAUUGCAGCACAUUGCCAACUCAGAAUAAGAUCCCAAUGUCAUUGCAAUUAUGCCUGAAAGCAUCUGGACAAUGCACAUUUCAAUGUGUUUAAAAGCCUAUUAACAUUUUUAUUGCAGGAUGGCAUGACCUCAAUUAUUCAGUUAGGUUUUUGUGUAACCGUUAAGAGAUGUCUCUAGAACAUGUGAUAUGGUUUGGCUUUGUGUCCCAACCCAAAUCUUCUCUUGAAUUGCAAUCCCAUAAUCCCUAUGUGUUGUGGGAGGGACCUGGUAGGACAUAAUUGAUUAAUGGGGGCAGAUUUCCCCCAGUGCUGUUCUCGUGAUAGUGAGUGAGUUCUCACGAGAUCUGAAGGUUUUAUAAAGGGCUCUCCCCUUCAGUAGGCACUCAUUUUCUCUCCUGCUACCCUGUGAAGAGGUGCCUUCCACCAUGAUUCUAAGUUUCCUGAGGCCUCUCCAGCCAUGCAGAACUGUGAGUCAAUUAAAACUCUUUUCUUUGUAAAUUAC
rnacentral:lncRNA from 1 species